UUCCCAGCUUGAGCUGAAAAACUGACCACUGUAUACGGAUGUUAAAUGUUUGGAAAUGAGAAAUUCAGAGGACUGUAUAACAGCAUCAGUGUAACAGACCUCCUGUGUAUAUUUGAACCUAUUGGUCAGUGGCUGCUUAAGACCUUCCUAAUGCUGAAGGUCUGAUGUCAUGUUCCAAGUGACUUAUGCAGUCAGCAGUGCAGGCAAGCUUUGCAGUUGUGCCAUGUUCUGUAGUUUCACUGCUGAAGUGCCUGCAGGCCACCUAUAUGUGAAAAUGGACAAGGAUUUGGAAAAGGCCUCGAGGUGUAUCUGUGCUGGAUAUAGAACUGAGUUAUUUCUGUCAGAUGUAUCCUCCUGGAAAGUGGGUUUGACCUACACUGUUGGACUGAAUGACCACGUCAGCAAGGUGCUGGACAGGGUCACUCACUGGUGGAUGUUUCUGCAGAGAGAGAACUGUUCUCAGCCAUGCAGAUAUUCUCUGAAGAGUUCAGAUACUGUCACCAAGGAGUGGUCCAGUCCACAUCUCAUUAGGAUGAGGAAACUGCCCUGCUUUAGAGGACUGGUGUCAAACUCUCAAGGUCUUUUUUGUUCAGGAGGUCCUCAAGUGCUGUGGAAAAAUAGAAGAGUGUCAAUAACGGAUUUGAACAUGAGCUGCCAACAAGCUGGAUGA
rnacentral:lncRNA from 1 species